UACGAAGGGGGCUAGCGUUGCUCGGAAUUACUGGGCGUAAAGCGCACGUAGGCGGACUCUUAAGUCGGUGGUGAAAUCCUGGAGCUCAACUCCAGAACUGCCUUCGAUACUGGGAGUCUCGAGUCCGGGAGAGGUGAGUGGAACUGCGAGUGUAGAGGUGAAAUUCGUAGAUAUUCGCAAGAACACCAGUGGCGAAGGCGGCUCACUGGCCCGGUACUGACGCUGAGGCACGAAAGCGUGGGGAGUAAACAGG
rnacentral:rRNA from 1 species